GAAAUGCGAUAAGUAAUGUGAAUUGCAGAAUUCAGUGAAUCAUCGAAUCUUUGAACGCACAUUGCGCCCGCCAGUAUUCUGGCGGGCAUGCCUGUUCGAGCGUCAUUUCAACCAUCAAGCCCCCGGCUUGUGUUGGGGACCUGCGGCUGCCCCCAGGCCCUGAAAAACAGUGGCGGGCUCGCUGUCACACCGAGCGUAGUAGCAUACAUUCUCGCUCAGGGCGUGCUGCGGGUUCCGGCCGUUAAACGACCUUCAUAACCCAAGGUUGACCUCGGAUCAGGUAGGAAGACCCGCUGAACUUAAGC
rnacentral:misc_RNA from 1 species